GUGAGUUGUACUGCUCUAAUUGCAGCCUCUUAUGAGAGUCACAUGAUUAUUUAACGAGGAUCUUUGAUUGGAUGAAUGAGCAAACACAUCUUUUAUAAAUACUAGUUUGUGCCAGUUUCGGUGCUUAUUUUGUCUUGAUGCUGAGGCACACAAGUUGGCAAGCAUAUCUUCCAGGAAAACCAUUUCUCAAGCGCUGAUGAAAAGUGAGCCCAGGCUGCUGCUGAUGUGAGAUAGUACAGAGUGAGCUUCCGGGAUUGAAGAAUGAGUGACGCUUUUCACAUCAUGAAGAUAUUCCACCCAACAUUGGUGAUUGUCUUCCAGCUCAAGUGAAUUGUUGCAAACUCAUCUUGGUGACAUGGAUAUUUCCAGAAGUCCUUUAUCUCUGUGUUUCACUGACUGGCUUAAAUUAUUAACAAACUGUCCUUUCAAACUAAGCUGCCAAGCCAGCCACAGCUCCUCGAACCACAAACACAAUAAAAGGCAAAUUCUUCGCAAAAAUACAAUCCUUUUUGUUGAAUGGAUUCCACUUACUGACCAAAGGAAUUAUAGAUCAAGGAAGAAGAAAGGUAAAGAAGUAACAGGCUUAGAAAUCUGAAGCUGGGCAUUGAUACAUAGGACGGUAUCAUGGCAGUCCUUUGAAUGUGCAGAGAAGAUACAUUUGGGAAUAAAUAAUGGAGAAUGUUUAGAAAA